rnacentral:rRNA from 1 species
UGCGUAGGCGGUUCUUUGUGUCCGCUGUGAAAGCCCCGGGCUUAACCUGGGAACUGCAGUGGAAACUAGAGGACUCAGAAUCUGGCAGAGGGGGGUGGAAUGCCACGUGUAGCAGUGAAAUGCGUAGAGAUGUGGCGGAACACCGAUGGCGAAGGCAGCCCCCUGGGCUGAGAUUGACGCUCAGGCACGAAAGCGUGGGGAGCAAACAGGAUUAGAUACCCUGGUAGUCCACGCCCUAAACGAUGAUCACUAGGUGUUGGGGAAGCGAUUUCCUAGUACCGCAGCUAACGCGUGAAGUGAUCCGCCUGGGGAGUACGGUCGCAAGAUUAAA